UACGUAGGGCGCAAGCGUUGUCCGGAAUUAUUGGGCGUAAAGAGCUCGUAGGUGGCUUGUUGCGUCUGCCGUGAAAGCCCGUGGCUUAACUACGGGUCUGCGGUGGAUACGGGCAGGCUAGAGGCUGGUAGGGGCAAGCGGAAUUCCUGGUGUAGCGGUGAAAUGCGCAGAUAUCAGGAGGAACACCUAUGGCGAAGGCAGCUCUCUGGGACGGUACUGACGCUGAGACGCGAAAGCGUGGGGAGCGAACAGG
rnacentral:rRNA from 1 species